rnacentral:rRNA from 1 species
CCUACGGGAGGCAGCAGUGAGGAAUAUUGGUCAAUGGCCGGAAGGCUGAACCAGCCAUGCCGCGUGAAGGUCAGUGCCCUAUGGGCGUUAAACUUCUUUUGUGCGGGAGCAAUAAUGGUCACGUGUGGCCAGACGAGAGUACCGUACGAAUAAGCAUCGGCUAACUCCGUACCAGCAGCCGCGGUAAUACGGGGGAUGCAAGCGUUAUCCGGAUUUAUUGGGUUUAAAGGGUGCGUAGGCUGUGAGGUAAGUCAGUGGUGAAAUGCCCCCGCUCAACGGGGUGAAGUGCCAUUGAUACUGCCUGGCUGGAAUGCGGAUGCCGUGGGAGGAAUGUGUGGUGUAGCGGUGAAAUGCAUAGAUAUCACACAGAACACCGAUUGCGAAGGCAUCUCACGAAUCCGCGAUUGACGCUGAUGCACGAAAGCGUGGGUAUCAAACAGGAUUAGAUACCCGGGUAGUC